rnacentral:rRNA from 1 species
AACGCUGGCGGCAGGCCUAACACAUGCAAGUCGAGCGCACUCUUCGGAGUGAGCGGCGGACGGGUUAGUAACGCGUGGGAACGUACCCAGAUCUAAGGAAUAGCCACUGGAAACGGUGAGUAAUACCUUAUACGCCCUUCGGGGGAAAGAUUUAUCGGAUUUGGAUCGGCCCGCGUUAGAUUAGAUAGUUGGUGGGGUAACGGCCUACCAAGUCUACGAUCUAUAGCUGGUUUUAGAGGAUGAUCAGCAACACUGGGACUGAGACACGGCCCAGACUCCUACGGGAGGCAGCAGUGGGGAAUCUUGGACAAUGGGCGCAAGCCUGAUCCAGCCAUGCCGCGUGAGUGAUGAAGGCCUUAGGGUCGUAAAGCUCUUUCGCCAGGGAUGAUAAUGACAGUACCUGGUAAAGAAACCCCGGCUAACUCCGUGCCAGCAGCCGCGGUAAUACGGAGGGGGUUAGCGUUGUUCGGAAUUACUGGGCGUAAAGCGCGCGUAGGCGGGUUGUUAAGUUAGAGGUGAAAUCCCGGGGCUCAACCCCGGAACUGCCUUUAAUACUGGCAACCUAGAGUUCGAGAGAGGUGAGUGGAAUUCCGAGUGUAGAGGUGAAAUUCGUAGAUAUUCGGAGGAACACCAGUGGCGAAGGCGGCUCACUGGCUCGAUACUGACGCUGAGGUGCG